AUUUCUUGGGUGAAGGCUGCUUUCUGAAGUGGAGUGCUUUCUUGCUAGAAACCCUCACCACCACUUGGAUCGCAGCAGAAAGGCAGUUUAAUUCUGACAGAAUGAUGUCUGACAUGAAAGUCCAUCUGAAGCAAAGGUCUGUCGCUGAAUUCUUGUGUGCAGAAAAAAAUGGCACCUGGAGAUAUUCACUGAUACUUGUUGAAUGUUGAUGGAGACCAAACAGUGUAUGUGAGCACAGUGAGGUGGUGGGUGGUGCAUCUCAGCAGUGAUGACAAUGUCAUGAAGGACAAGCCACGUUCUGAAAGGCCAUGAAGAUUUUUACAAGCACAGCAUGCAGUUUUCAGGACUCUGAAAGUUACCUUGUUCCUGCUGUUCUGUACUCCUGGAGCAAGCUGAAAUGUUUUGUUUACAUGAAGAUCAACAAAUAUCAGGUUCUCAGUAAGCACAGUGGCUCUGCCAGAAAGGAAGGAAUACAUCUCAAACAUGGGAAUGUCAGGAAGAAGGAGAGGUAGCCCCUUAAUUCCAUCCUGAAAACAUUUUUGGAGCAACAUGCAGAUCAGCAUGUGUGCAGGAGGUCUGUUGAUAUAGAGUGAGAGAUAAUGUGUUGAAAAAAAUGUAGUGAGAAACUGUAAAUAUUUUCACAAUAAGGAAUCCUGUAAAUAAAAGCAGAUAGGAAAUUUUUGCUUGCACUAAGCCGUAGGGACUACCUGUUCCCUAAAGUCUGGAUGUGGGGCAGUGUCUUAACCAGCAGACAUGGUGGAGACAGGAAAGAAAUGUAAGACAUAUCAGUGAUUGCUGAUUUAGCAUUGAAUAUUAUGAUUUGACCACUUUACCUGCAGCUGUGUUUGGUAAGGUAGAUUAUAGAAUUAUCUAAUAUCUUGAUUUGGAAGACAUCCACAGGGAUCAUCAACUCCUGCCUCCACACAGUACUACGUACAUGAGUAUAUUCUGAGCUGAUAGAUGGUCUAUGUUUUUUGAUGGACUGUAGAGAACACAGAAGGUUUUGGUACCAUACUGAGACAGCUUUGGAGACACUGAGGUUUGACUGAGUCAGCCACGCCGUUCUUGAUGGUUUGGGGAUAGUUACACGAUUUAAUGAGCACUGGGUAUAUACUGCUGCUCACAAUUCUCCCUGAUGCUAAUGUCAUGCCUUGCCUGAAAGUCCCUAUUAGACAUCAUGGCUAUUCACGUGUGUCUUGUUAUUAUGCAGAAAGUGAGAGUGUAGGCUGUUAAGAAAACAUAACUUUUCCAGCUAGCAUAAGCACACACGAUCCUUCAGACAGAAAGGAUAUUCCUAUUUCUCUUGAACUCCAUGUACUUACGAUCUACAGAAUAUUAAAAGCAUCUUUUCCUGCUGAAUUCUGUUCACCAUGACACUCUGUUUCUUGGUGUUUAAUAAGCAGAAUAUGUCUGCCUGCAAAAAUAGGAUUAUUGACUGCAUUGCUAGCUUUGAGCUUCCUGUUGCCCACGUUACAGGUCAGUGUGGUUUUGUUGUUAUCUUUCAAGUAGGAAAUAAUGAUUCUCUAUGUCUAGGUUUCAGAAAAUAUCCUUCCAAUAUAUUAAAUUGUAAUUAUUCCCCCAUCUCCUUCAAAUAUUAUGUUACCAAUACACAGCAGUUUGCAACACUGACUUUUGCAGUCAGUGCAAAAUCUAAGAUAAUAUUUCCAUAGUACAAAAUCUUUUGUUUCUUUAUGCCAUUACAUUUUGUUAAUUUAUUGUACAGAAUUGAAUAUAUAUAUAUAUUUAAUAAUUACAGCAGCUGGAGCAAGGCAGCAAUUAGUUUCACAGUUAAGUUCACAAACCUGGCUAAAAUCCGUAUGUCAAUCAGAUAAGUACAUGAAAUAUUUUAGAUUUUAGGAGUGCCCAGCCACCACUUAUUUUAUCUAGAUGAGGGAGAUAAAAGAUAAUAAAGUUGCAGUGGAGAAUCUCCUUCCUAAUAGAGGAUAUUUUAAGAACUGAAACAUUGUAAUUCGUGGAAUGUUUUUCUAUGCUGACCUUAUUUAGCCAGGAUCCAACCCCAAAUACCAGCUGUGCUAACCUAUUAACACAUCAUUUUGUUUAUGAUGGCUAAUUACCCAGGGGCAGCAUAUGAACAGUUACUUGUGU
ensembl:lncRNA